GAGGGGCAGCCAGGGAGGCGGGGAGUUGCUGCCAACACCAGGGGAGGGAAGCAGCCGUCGGCCGCCACUCCGGGGAGGGGGGAGCAGCAGCCACCGGAUAACUGUGAGAGGAGCCGCUGCCCUCGAAUCCGCCGCAGGAGGAAGCUGCUGCCACCCGAUCCACUCUCAGCCGGCGCCACCGCCGCCGGAUCCACACGCGGUCGCCGUCCCCGCUGUCAGAUCCACCGUGGGAGGGAGGAGAGAGGGGGCAGAGGGAGCCGCCGCCGCUGGAUCCGUCCUUAUCCGCUGCCGGAUCCACCCGCGGCCGCCGCCGACGCCGCCAUCGAUGCCGGAUCUACCGCGGGAGGGAGGCGAGAUGGAGAGGAGGAGAUGGCGAGCGAGGCGAAUCCAUCCGUGGCUCACUCGGCCUCCCCGUCUCCGACCACUCUCUCCGCCUCAAGCUGCUCGCCUCCGAAUACCACCGCCGCCUCCACGUCUUCGCGCUCCAGGAGGACCUCCAUGGUGAUGGCAUCGUGGAUCUGGCCGGCAACUCGAGGGAAAAAGAAGGCCGGCGACGAUGUUGUGGAUAGGCCGUUGACGAUGUGGUGGAUCGGCCGGCAACCGAGGUUCUUAGUGUCGAUCAAAGCGAUCGCCUCUGCCGUACGACGCGGCGUCAUGCAUGUCAUGUCGCAUAUGACGGCGAGCCGCCUAGCCCGGUUAAGGAAUCUCAUAGCGGUGAGCGACAUGUCAGGGAAAGAUGGCGAGGUUGACCUGCGAGGUGGCGCCGCGGCCAAGACUAGAUGGGGGAACCCGCCCGUGCCGCGGUGGACCGCAUGA
rnacentral:lncRNA from 1 species